AGAAAUACGAAGGAGAAGGCGGGCUGGAACCUCUCGGGGUUACAGCCUUGCUGAAUUAUUCACCCUUGUCUUUUGCGUACUUCUUGUUUCCUUGGUGGGUUCGCCCACCACUAGGACAAACAUAAACCUUUUGUAAUUGCAAUCAGCGUCAGUAACAAAUUAAUAAUUACAACUUUCAACAACGGAUCUCUUGGUUCUGGCAUCGAUGAAGAACGCAGCGAAAUGCGAUAAGUAGUGUGAAUUGCAGAAUUCAGUGAAUCAUCGAAUCUUUGAACGCACAUUGCGCCCUUUGGUAUUCCAAAGGGCAUGCCUGUUCGAGCGUCAUUUGUACCCUCAAGCUUUGCUUGGUGUUGGGCGUCUUGUCUCUAGCUUUGCUGGAGACUCGCCUUAAAGUAAUUGGCAGCCGGCCUACUGGUUUCGGAGCGCAGCACAAGUCGCACUCUCUAUCAGCAAAGGUCUAGCAUCCAUUAAGCCUUUUUUUCAACUUUUGACCUCGGAUCAGGUAGGGAUACCCGCUGAACUUAAG
rnacentral:rRNA from 1 species